rnacentral:tRNA from 1 species
AGUCAUGUAGUAUAAAAAAUUACAUAAAAUUGCAAAUUUUAAAAAGCAGAAUAGUAUCUGCCGGGGCUU